rnacentral:misc_RNA from 1 species
AUAGUCUACUAAGCCAAUCUAGAGCUAAGCCAAAGCCCAAUUUGCAUGGCAGCGAAUCCCUCUGUUUAGAUUCUGACCAGAGGCCAAAAGCUUAUCUCUAUAGCAAAUCAUCGAGAUUUCUCAUCCAGACACAAAUAAGGCGACUUCUAUCGAGUGAUUCAUUUUGUUAAAGAUGAACGGCGGCGAUGCUUCCGGUGCAGUGGAGGCACAGUACAUACGGAGACACCAUAGGCAUCAGCCUAAAGAGAACCAGUGCGCUUCUGCUCUCGUCAAGCACAUCAAAGCUCCUGUUCAUCUCGUUUGGUCUUUGGUUAGGCGAUUCGAUCAGCCCCAGAAGUACAAGCCAUUUGUGAGUAGAUGCGUUGUGAAUGGGGAGAGUGGGGAGCCUGAGAUUGGAAGUGUUAGGGAAGUCAAUGUUAAAUCUGGACUCCCCGCUACCACUAGCACCGAGAUGCUGGAACUUCUGGACGAUGAGGAGCACAUUCUUGGAAUCAAGAUUGUUGGUGGUGAUCAUAGGCUAAAGGUAUACAUUUCCUUCCACUUCUUUGUUUAUGAUUAUUAUCAUUAUUAAAACCCUCUUUUGUUUUAUACUGAGAAGAUACUGUUUACGUCCUGUUAUUUAAAUUUUGUUGGAGCAUUAGUGAAGCUGGAUUGAAUCUACAUACAACGUUUAUGUGGUUAUUUAAUGGAUUGAUCAAUUAGAUUACUUGAUCAUUCGUUUGUUACAUGUCUGAAAGUUAUGCAGUUUUUUCUGCGUUUGCUGGAGUUUACUGUCUGACAUUUAUCCUUUGGAGAUUAUGCCGAAUCAUCCUUUGAUGAGCUUUAAUUUGCCUUUGGGUAAUGUAUAAUGGGUCAUCUCAUAGCCUGCUCCACUCUUCAAGUUAUCAUUGUUCCCACCUACCAGUUCCCUAUUUUAAUGUGUAAAGCAAUUGGGGGAGUCUAGAAUACUUCAUAUAGGAUGAGAUGGAAUCUGGUGAUUUAUGAUCUUGCAUGUGCUUGCCAGUUUUGUGGCUAUUGGAGCCUUCCUUUUCUGGACUGGGCAAUAUUCUAAUGCUUGUCUUUCAUUCAUGUUCUUGUUAGUUUAUUUUAUUCUAGAGGCCAUGACAUUACAGCUCAUUUAGUACAGUUUUGGGUUGCGUUGCGUUGCGUUGCAUUGUAUUGCACAUGGGAGCCACAGUUGGGUACCAUCUCUUUAUCUUUAUGCUAUGAUGUGUAGCUUUUGAAUUUGCUUUACCCCUUACAUUUUGAAGAAUGAAUGGAAUAUUCUCUGUUGGAACAAUAUGAUAUACGCAUGCUAGUGGAAAUUGUGGUUUUCCAAUUUUGUGAAAACAGAUCUUGUUCAAGCGGGCAACCCACUUUUCCUUCAUGAUUUGGGACAAGAACUUGACAUCCAUAUCAUGUGUACUCCAAGUGAGUGCGUGCACAUGCAUGUGUUCAAGCAUAUGCGCAUUUUCAUUGGUUGACAAGGCAGGAGAUUUUUUGCUUUCUUGUAUAAAAAAUAUCUAGACCUUUUAUACUGCAAUGCCUUUUGCUGAUAUUUCCCAUUUUCUUGAUUUUGCAGAACUACUCGUCAAUCAUGACCGUGCAUCCAGAGGUUAUUGAUGGAAGGCCUGGGACGUUGGUCAUAGAGUCAUUUGUGGUGGAUGUGCCUGAUGGGAACACCAAGGAUGAGACAUGUUACUUUGUGAAGGCACUCAUCAAGUGCAAUCUCAAAUCUCUGGCUGAUGUCUCAGAGAGGAUGGCUGUGCAGGACCGGGUUGAACCCAUCAACCGAUUCUGAAUGGGUGGUUUCAUAAUAUGUGAUAAAAGUCUGUUAGGGUGGUUGUGCCAUUUGAGGGUUCUAAUUCCAGAGGCUUUGUAGAGAUUGAUGGAUAUACUCCUUCACUAUUCCCAGAAGUUUUGCGUGCAAUGCUGGAUUUGCUUUUUAACCUCAUGGAGACCCUUGCUGCCUGCUUUUGCUUUGUUUGAUUUCUCCCUCAAAGUACGGUUUCCCCUGCUUUAGUAAUUAGGCCCUUGGACAAGUUUCCUUAAAAAUUCCUGUGAAUGGGAAAAAACCCGCUCCUUUUCACUGUUGCUUUUACUAGUAUCUGCAUGACGUUAUGUAAAUUACUAUGGCCAUAUCUGUAAAUAUCCAUGUAACACACAGUUGGUGCCUUAGUUGCAGCCUCUAGGCGCGGGGAUUAUUGGGGAAGAACUUGAAGUAGCGGUGCUUUAUUAAUUUUAAUUUAACAGUGUCCUUUUUAGCGCACUAUUGCGAAAAAAAAUCAUUCCAACCAGUUUCAGUCAUGUUAUGUGUAUGCUUUCAAUCAUCUAUCAGAAGCGUAUGCUAAUGCUGGCAGCCUUUGAGUGCAGAAAUUGCGGUGGUUCCUAAUUUUUUUAGAUGUGUCCUAUAAGCUUACGGUUUGGAAUUUAAAAUGCGUGUUUAUCCGUUAUCCGAUAAGGUAUUUGUUCUUAUUGACAAGUGGGCCUAGAAUUAUUUAAUGGUAUAAUCAAAG